rnacentral:rRNA from 1 species
GGCGACCGCUAUUGGAGUUCGGUUAAGCCAUGCGAGUAGAAAGAAAUUAGAUUCUUUGCAUACUGCUCAGUAACACGUGGAUAACCUGCCCUACACUGGGGGAUAAUCUCGGGAAACUGAGGAUAAUACCCCAUAGACCACUACGCCUGGAACGGUGAGUGGUUGAAAGCUCCGGCGGUGUAGGAUGGGUCUAGCGGCGUAUCAGGUCGUAGGGGGUGUAAUGGACCUCCUAGCCAUCGACGCGUACGGGUUGUGGGAGCAAUAGCCCGGAGACGGAUUCUGAGACACGAAUCCGGACCCUACGGGGUGCAGCAGGCGCGAAAACUUCACACUGCAGGAAACUGUGAUGAGGGAACUCCAAGUGACUGCACAAUGUGUAGCCUUUUCUUGAAUCUUAAUAGUUCUUGGAAUAAGGGCUGGGAAAGACCGGUGCCAGCCGCCGCGGUAAUACCGGCAGCUCAAGUGGUCGUCGCUUUUAUUGGGCCUAAAACGUCCGUAGCCUGUUUGGUAAAUCUGUGGGUAAAUCAACGAGCUUAACUCGUUGAAUUCUGCAGAGACUGCCAGACUAGGGACCGGGAGAGGUAUGAGGUACUCUGGGGGUAGGGGUAAGAUCCUGUCAUCCUCAGAGGACCACCUGUUGCGAAGGCGUCAUACUGGAACGGAUCCGACGGUCAGGGACGAAGCCUAGGGGCACGAACCGGAUUAGAUACCCGGGUAGUCCUAGGUGUAAACGCUGUGGAUUUGGUGUGUGGGGUCCGCAAUGGGCCCCAUGUGCCGGAGUGAAGAUGUUAAAUCCACUGCCUGGGGAGUACGGUCGCAAGGCUGAAACUUAGAGGAAUUGGCGGGGGAGCACUGCAACGGGAGGAGCGUGCGGUUU